AUGAACGCUGGCGGCGUGCCUAAUACAUGCAAGUCGAGCGAACAGACGAGGAGCUUGCUCCUCUGACGUUAGCGGCGGACGGGUGAGUAACACGUGGAUAACCUACCUAUAAGACUGGGAUAACUUCGGGAAACCGGAGCUAAUACCGGAUAAUAUAUUGAACCGCAUGGUUCAAUAGUGAAAGACGGUUUUGCUGUCACUUAUAGAUGGAUCCGCGCCGCAUUAGCUAGUUGGUAAGGUAACGGCUUACCAAGGCAACGAUGCGUAGCCGACCUGAGAGGGUGAUCGGCCACACUGGAACUGAGACACGGUCCAGACUCCUACGGGAGGCAGCAGUAGGGAAUCUUCCGCAAUGGGCGAAAGCCUGACGGAGCAACGCCGCGUGAGUGAUGAAGGUCUUCGGAUCGUAAAACUCUGUUAUUAGGGAAGAACAAAUGUGUAAGUAACUAUGCACGUCUUGACGGUUCCUAAUCAGAAAGCCACGGCUAACUACGUG
rnacentral:rRNA from 1 species